rnacentral:rRNA from 1 species
GGAUGGGAUGGGGCAACGCCGCGUGCAGGAUGAAGGUUUUCGGAUUGUAAACUGCUUUUAUGUGCGAAGAAUAUGACGGUAACACAUGAAUAAGGAUCGGCUAACUCCGUGCCAGCAGCCGCGGUCAUACGGAGGAUCCAAGCGUUAUCCGGAUUUACUGGGCGUAAAGAGUUGCGUAGGUGGUUUGUUAAGUGAAUAGUGAAAUCUUGUGGCUCAACCAUAAGGCUAUUAUUCAAACUGGCAAACUCGA